UUCUUUCACAUCUUCAUGUGU
rnacentral:misc_RNA from 1 species